AUGAAACACCAGCUCUCGUACAAUCACCAAAGUUAAGCAAUAUCAUGUCUGGUCAGUACCUAGAUGGGUGGCUGCUUGGGAAUACCAGAUGCUGUAAG